CCAGACUCCUACGGGAGGCAGCAGUGAGGGAUAUUGGGCAAUGGGGGAAACCCUGACCCAGCGACGCCGCGUGAGGGAAGACGGUCUUCGGAUUGUAAACCUCUGUCUUUGGGGACGAAAAAGGACGGUACCCAAGGAGGAAGCUCCGGCUAACUACGUGCCAGCAGCCGCGGUAAUACGUAGGGGGCAAGCGUUAUCCGGAUUUACUGGGUGUAAAGGGGGCGCAGACGGCAGCGCAAGCCAGGAGUGAAAGCCCGGGGCCCAACCCCGGGACUGCUCUUGGAACUGCGCGGCUGGAGUGCAGGAGGGGCAGGCGGAAUUCCUGGUGUAGCGGUGAAAUGCGUAGAUAUUAGGAGGAACACCAGUGGCGAAGGCGGCCUGCUGGACGAUGACUGACGUUGAGGCUCGAAAGCGUGGGGAGCAAACAGGAUUAGAUACCCCGGUAC
rnacentral:rRNA from 1 species